UCGGAGCGCCCUCGCCAGAC
rnacentral:miRNA from 1 species